rnacentral:rRNA from 1 species
AGUGAACGCUGGCGGUAGGCCUAACACAUGCAAGUCGAACGGCAGCACAGUAAGAGCUUGCUCUUACGGGUGGCGAGUGGCGGACGGGUGAGGAAUACAUCGGAAUCUACUUUUUCGUGGGGGAUAACGUAGGGAGACUUACGCUAAUACCGCAUACGACCUACGGGUGAAAGCAGGGGAUCUUCGGACCUUGCGCGAUUGAAUGAGCCGAUGUCGGAUUAGCUAGUUGGCGGGGUAAAGGCCCACCAAGGCGACGAUCCGUAGCUGGUCUGAGAGGAUGAUCAGCCACACUGGAACUGAGACAAGGUCCAGACUCCUACGGGAGGCAGCAGUGGGGAAUAUUGGACAAUGGGCGCAAGCCUGAUCCAGCCAUACCGCGUGGGUGAAGAAGGCCUUCGGGUUGUAAAGCCCUUUUGUUGGGAAAGAAAAGCAGCAGGUUAAUACCCCGCUGUUCUGACGGUACCCAAAGAAUAAGCACCGGCUAACUUCGUG